AGCAUCACCACAAGUGUUGUCACAAGGAGAAGACGGACUCCAUGGUCCCCAGCCACCUUCCCUCACCAGAGGACGCACAUAGUUGGGGUUGACAGUCUUCACCCACGGCACGCACGCUCCGUUGAAACACAUCUGCAGCCCUUGGAGCUGGUGUCAGACAAGAAGUGAAGACAGGGGAUCACAUGAUUACAAGAUGGAUAGGUUCCGUCAUGCGUCAGACCAAUGCUGCGCAGGAUGUUUACAGGUAACGACAUCAAAGUUUAGUACUCACCGGGGACUCCCGCCAGAUCUCCAGGUGCACGACUUUGAUGGUCAUGUUCCAGCCCACCACCGAGGGAUUCGACAGCAAAGCGUACAUCUGUUGACAGCAG